rnacentral:rRNA from 1 species
UACGGAGGGGGCAAGCGUUAUUCGGAAUUAUUGGGCGUAAAGGGCGCGUAGGCGGUCUCUAAAGUCAGGUGUGAAAGCCCGGGGCUUAACCCCGGAAGUGCAUUUGAAACUCAGGGGCUUGAGUAUGGGAGAGGGAAGUGGAAUUCCUGGUGUAGCGGUGAAAUGCGUAGAUAUCAGGAGGAACACCAGUGGCGAAGGCGGCUUCCUGGACCAAUACUGACGCUGAGGCGCGAAGGCGUGGGGAGCAAACAGG